AACCGCAUUCUUUGAACGGCUUGUACCCACCAAGCACCAGAUCGUAUUCUUUUUGCGCCUGCUUGAGAAUGGGUCAGCCUUGUGGGGACCGACCGCGUUGGAGCCUCAAAAAUGCCCUCGAUUAUUGCUCCAUAUCACCAGUCUAUCAAACCUUGGGAAGAUCCUUUCCCUCUCGGCUCCGCUAGCAUCUUGGCCGGGGCAGUGAUGUUGAUGUGACUCUUGGCUCGGCGGUUGGGUCUCUGGAUGGAGUUUCAUGGCCAAAAAAAAGGAAAGGAGCAGGAAUGUGUUGGUUCUGUCUGAUUGAUUUUCGUGAGCAAAGGGAAUGAUAUUCAAACUGCGGACAACCCAUUUAUAAUCUUGUUUAGUGAUGCCUAAUCCGAAAAAUGGUGGUGAGAAGGAUGAUGGCCGGGAUAAAGUACUGGAGGUGUCAAAACUUGAAAGGGCUUCCAGGCUUGAGCUAUUUGUUCAAGCAAACCUCUAAACAUCCCCGUUGACCAAGCUCCAAAAAUUAUAUUUGGGGCUGGUUUAGGGGCAUUUCGCUUUAAAACUUGGCCGUGAAUUUUAGGCAUCCCGCCCCCUUAACUCCAGACAUUCCGCUCCGGCAUGGAGAUCUCCAUUUGAGUUUCUACCAUGUGCUGGGACCUUGUUCCACGCCUCCGUAGAUGCUCUGCAGAGCACCAAAAGCCCUUCUUAGGGUACCACCAUCCUUCAAGAAUUAAGCCCCAUUCACAGAAGCUUUUCGCCAAGCUUGGCCAGUUUGGAGGACUGUCCUCAACACUUAGCACCUUGGGGGGUGUUGAUUGAGGCAGUCUUGGAUACUAGUUGCUAGGCUCAACUCUUUUUGUCAAAGUCUGUUUCUGAAUCCAAAACUGAUGCGUUAAUUUCUGGGGAAGAGAAAAGCAACGGGCGAACCGAUGGGACGGUUGAUGUCGCCGUUUCUGAUGGGGUCCAAGGGCGAGCGCACCAUGAUCGAGCAACUCUUACAGGGGAUGGGAAUGGAUAUACUGUUGGCACGGUUGAAAAAAAAAAAAAGUCUGAACCGCAUUGGGGCCAUUGUCUCCAUGAACACUCCUGCAUUUCCUUUACCAAUAACGUAUCUCCUUUCAACAGUGAGCUUCUCACACCCAACAUACUUAAGGCACAGUACAAAGCCAUCCUAAUAUUUCCGCCAAAUAACUCCUUCCCUCUUCCCUCUUCCCUCUUCCCCCUUCCCCAGUUUCUCCAGUGUUCGCCUUCAAAGAAUUUAGAACUCCACGGCAAGUUAUACACAUGCAUACUAGUAGCCUAAACUUUGCCGACUGCCUGCCCUCCUGAGACACCAAGUCUGGUUCCACUCGAACCUGUCUAUACUCGUCCUCUGAGAUUCAAAACCUCAAACCGUUUACUCGAAAAUCACUGUCUCGUACAACUUCCUAUCCCCAUCCUCAUCUGUCACCCUAUACAAACGCUUAGUGUGUUCGUUGCUCGAGCGACUCACAGAGAUACCCCCUACAUAAUUUCCUGCAGGCUCCUCAAUCGUGCCUGCAGCACUAUACGCCUCGAUGGUCGCGCGUACAGGGUGGAAUUGCGACUUGAGCAUCGCCGGGAACAAGCAGAGGCCGACCUUCUUUGUCUUUUCCUCAAUGCCGUCAAGACAAACGAGGUACCUGAACCCGUGUUUACGGUGGUAAUGCUGGAACUCAGAGGCAUCGGCUGGCAGCAAUGGGAAGGUCUUCGCUGCUGGCGUAGCAUCCCAGAGGUGAGGGAAUGGUACCACGGCGGUAACUCGGUUCCAACCUGUGUACAGAUUGUAUCUAGAUGUGGAUACUGGGCUGGUGAAGGUGAAUGGGCUGACGAGGUUGACUUUAGUGUGCCAUUGCAUCAGGGGCUUAGAGCCAGGAUAGCCGCUAAUCAAGAAGUAGAGAUAUUCUCUCUGCUGGAGCUUAACUUCGACCUCCUUGGCAGUAGGCAAGACGGUGUGGACGAAGUUGGAGAAGGAUAUGGAUUUCGGGGGAUCUAACUCGCCCGAGUCUCUCUGGGGCUUCGGGUUGAAUUUUGGAACAGAUCGCGGAAUUACAUCUGCAAAGAUUCCUUCUUGCUUCUUCGGUUCCUGCUUUGAAGUCUUCUUCUCCACCUGGAGAUCUCGGAACAUAUAGACUUCUUUAGGAAUAUCACUUGUCACCACGUACUUUCUAGCCAUAUCGCCCUUAGUCAGGCCGAGUUCCUCGAACAACUUCUCCGCGACAGCGAUAUUGCCCGCUUUCGGGGGUUUCUGUGGACGCAAAUAAAUUUUGGGAUCGCACAGUUCUCUCCACUGUCGGUCCAGCUCUUUGAACUCCUUGCCCUCUUUAACCCCAUCGAGAAGCUUCGAAAGUGCGCCCGAGCGCAACUGUUUCAGACAUCCAAUGAAGGCAGACGCUGCGAUAUGAGUCUGGAUGUUGUGUCGCUUUGUGUCGCUAACAGCGCUGGACUUCAGCAAUACUCCGCGGGACUUCUGCACAUCAAGAAGCCAGCCAAUGGCACCCUUGUGGGCAUCAGCGUAUGGCAGGCGGUUCUCCUGUAGCAUGGCUGCUGCUUUACGGACGGUUUCCGUGUUGUAAUCUUCCAGGAUCCGCUGCAGCAUCUCCCUUUGCUCGUUUGUGGGAGACAUGGUGCGCGCCAAGGCCGGUGGAAUCACCCGCCGAGCACAUGGGAUCUCAAACGCCAUGUGCCUGAAGCCUCCUUUCUUCUUGAAUCCGAGGGACCGGCGCUUAUUGCUGGUGAUUCUAUAUUCCUUGGCCACUGUUCCAUCUUCAAAAAGUUUACACAUGGCGCUGACGGGAGCUCGGAAGAGGACCGGGAGAGACUUAUCCUCGCUCCAGAAGAGCGGGAUUAGUUUCCCCGUCGAGUCAUCGACGAUGCAGAGAUCUCCGUAGCGAUUUAUGAAGUGAGCACAAGUAUUGCACCUAACUUCUGCGCGGUGCUCGGGCGGGAAAGCAUAUUCGAAGACUGCGUUCAUCUUGAUAGUAGAAUUUUUCAUGUUGACAUGAAAAAUCGGUGCGGUGGGGCGCGAGUUCAGAACAUCAACUGCGCGUUUCGCCAUCCGCUGGUAUAGGGGCUUUGGGUCGAUGCGGGUCUCCUUUUUCCGAACCGGGAGCUCGUCUAGGUAAGCGGGGAGAACAGGUUUCUUAGUAGGGGUAAUAUCCACCCAUUCAUCAUCCAUGAUUGAAGUCAGGGUAUCGAGUUCAACAACGUAUAUUUUUCACUGUUGGAGUCCUUGGUGAAGGGCGGGUGUGUGUGUGUGUGUGUGCACGUUGAUGAUAGUUCAGCUUUGUAAAAAGAAAUGCA
rnacentral:sRNA from 1 species